rnacentral:rRNA from 1 species
AUUGAACGCUGGCGGCAGGCCUAACACAUGCAAGUCGAGCGGAUGAAGGGAGCUUGCUCCUGGAUUCAGCGGCGGACGGGUGAGUAAUGCCUAGGAAUCUGCCUGGUAGUGGGGGAUAACGUCCGGAAACGGGCGCUAAUACCGCAUACGUCCUUAGGGAGAAAGUGGGGGAUCUUCGGACCUCACGCUAUCAGCUGAGCCUAGGUCGGAUUAGCUAGUUGGUGGGGUAAAGGCCUACCAAGGCGACGAUCCGUAACUGGUCUGAGAGGAUGAUCAGUCACACUGGAACUGAGACACGGUCCAGACUCCUACGGGAGGCAGCAGUGGGGAAUAUUGGACAAUGGGCGAAAGCCUGAUCCAGCCAUGCCGCGUGUGUGAAGAAGGUCUUCGGAUUGUAAAGCACUUUAAGUUGGGAGGAAGGGCAGUAAGUUAAUACCUUGCUGUUUUGACGUUACCAACAGAAUAAGCACCGGCUAACUUCGUG